UAAAUACCAAAAACUAUCUUCUUCUUCCUAUUUUUUCUAAGAAAAACCGUCCACCAUGGGAGAGGAAAAGUCGUGAGGUUCUCAAAUAAGUCUCACCCCGAUUUUCUGUCGAACCGUCGAUUUAAUCGUGUAAACGUUAUGAAAUCAACUACACCCAAAUGUAGCAAAUGAAAGGAAAAAGAUCGGCGAAAGAAGAAAUGUCGAAUGGAAAGGUUUGGAAAUAUCGUCAUCCAGAUGUAGUUUAUGACAUAUGUGAGGUUUUGUAUUAUUAUACCCCUCUGAUGACAUAGUUUGGAAAUUUGAAGUCGUGGACGAAGAUUUGACUACUGGUACGGGUAUGUUGAUACGUGUGAUGACAUCUGUGAUUUGUCUAUGUUAAUGUGUGGAUAUCAUUUGGAAUAUUAGAUGCUUCAUAUAAAUGCUGAUGACUGUUGAUAAAUUCUGGGUUUGAUAUUGCCUAUUGUUGGAUUCUGGGUAUGUGUUGGUUAUAGAGGAGAUGCUGUCCAAUGUAUGUUAGAAAUUAAUAAGCAAAUAAUAAUAUGAUAUAUGCAGUAAUGAUUGGUAAAUAUAAUAAUAAGAAUUUAAGUUGUAUGAUUAUUGAUUGUUAGAGAAUUGUGGCUGAAGUGUUGAGUGUGCUACAGGUUAAUUGGAUCGGGGAUUCCUUUGGAUAUUUCUUUCGUUUCUUCGCCAGCUCUGCAUCCUCGGUGGGUCACUGAUCACUGCUUGCGGCGUUUGUGUCCAUUUCUGUUAGAUGUGGCAUGUAUAGUAUUUGAAUAUUUGUAAUAGCUUCCGCUGUGUUUGUAAAUAGUGUUGGAACUUUUGCUGAUAGGUUAAUGAAUUAAGUUUGGUUUUUAA